GUGAGACUCUGAGUGGGGAGUCUCUGGAGGUGGCUCUCUGCAGGUGAGACUCUGGAGUUUGAAGGAAUAAAACACGAAGGACACUUGUUUCUUUAAAGACACCUCAAUGAGGGAACUUUUGGUUGUAUAUACAAGGGGAAACUGAAUGACGGGAUUCAAAGCGCGGGCUGGUCACCUGGAGACGAGGUGCCGGUGCGGCAUGUCACGGAUAUGGCAAGCCUUGCCAUACACGGAGAGAGAGCUGUUCACCUACGGAGGCUGUGGACCUGCUUUCAUUUCCUCCUAACCCCCUAGAUAGUCUAGGAGCAGCAUCGGCCCUAGGCAGAAGUCUACAGCACCUGCACACCGUACCAUGACAGCAGCCCUAUAGUCUUUGGGACGCAAGAGACCUGUCCACGUUCUGAAGUCACCAUGGCGACCUCUGAAGGACCUGGAGAAUGGCCGCCAGAAUGGUGAAACAGGAUCCCCACGCAGCAGCCGCAGGACAUGGGAGAAAAGGGACGGACACAGUAAGCCUUCGAUGUUCCUCUGUCAAGUCAAUGGUCCACAACUCUUCCCCACUUAGCCGAGAAGACCUCAGUAAUGUAUAAAGGACAUUCUGACUCCCUGUCGCCUCAUGUUUCAGAAGGACUCCUUGGGCCUCUACUACCGGGGUUUUAAACAUUCCUGCGGUUCCAUCUAAAAAAAAAGGAAUACUGCCGUGCACCUGAGGUUGUGAAUGCAACAUCCAACAAAGAGGUUACAUCUAUCACAUUUUUUAAAGGAACGGGGAAAGUACCAAUGGCAUUAACUUGUAGGAUCCUGCUAUCACUGUCUUUCACACCUCUGCACUCUAUUAUUUUGUAUUGUUUCAUGAUAUGAUUUAUCUUUCAUGCAGUGUUAGGGUUCAAGCUAUAUUAAAUCCCAGAGGGCGAUUGUUUCGAAGUCCAAGUGCAUAACAGUCACAGACACUGUGAAAAAUACAAGAGUUAGGAAGAGACUAUUCAACAAACAAUACUAGGGCUGGGUAUUGUGGCCAAUUUCCUAAAUCGAUUCGAUUUCGAUUCAUAAGGUUCUGAAUCAAUUAAUCACCAUUUGAUUCGAUUCGAUUCAAUCUGCUCUUAAAUAAUGAAAAUGUCUCAAAAGCGCAAUUUUGAAAUUAGAAAGGUGUAUGGCCCUAAACAAUACAAGAGACAAGAACAGACCAUCCUAGACACGAUAAUGGGUCUUGUUUGAUUUUGAAAUGUUCCUUCAAAGCCUUGCCAACCCGGGAUCUUGUCCUUUACUGGUUUCACCUCUCCACUCAUUUGGUUAUUGUGGUCAUUGUAAGCUUUUUUAAGCUGACGUUUUAUCACUGGAUGAAUUACCUUAUGCAUCGCAUUGUACAUUGUUGUGCUGGAAUAUACGGUUAAAGCACCUUGAGCUCAACAUCAUUGACAACAUUUGUCUUUCCGAAUUAAACAAAGUCUUACUUUGUUUAAAAUAAUAGAUUUUCUUUAAACAUGGAUUUACCGUGCGUUUUGAUAUCUAUCUAUUUAUUCAUGUUAGCAUGUUUAGACACUGACUUUUAUUCAACAUCUUUGCAGACUCAUCUGAGUAGUUUAAUACUUGUUUCUUAAGUGUGCUCAAACCUCUUUUUUUCUGCUAGCAGGGCUGAUGGCAAAGCAUGGUUAUUUAUUUAUUUGGGCUUCAAGAUUAAUCUCAAAUGACUUCCCGAAACCACAAUGGUUUCCACAAGAGUGUCAUUAAACACUUGAAUGGCGAGUUCAUCCCAUAUCUGUUAUCACCUAUUAUUAUUUAUAUAACAACUUUUGCCCUUUUCAAAGUCUGACCUUAUCUUUAUUUGAGUUUCUGGCUUUCAUCCUUCCAGAGCAAAAGUAUUCAAAAAACCGAGGUGGUUAUGUCAUAAAAGAUAUGCUUCAGUAAUUCUUAAAAAAAAGUCUUUAAGAACUGGCAAGUAGCAAAACCCUGAACUCCCCAUAUCUUCAAUCCUUAAAAACAAUGAAUAUUAUAAUAGGUAUUUGUUGGAUUCUUUGGUGAAGUAAUUUAACUAAUUUGAAAUGGAGAAUUUCCUCACCUUAGUGUCCAGAGAAUACGAUGCUCUAUUAAUAUGCAACACCCAAAGGCCUCAGACCAUCUAACCAACGACAACCCGAUAAUUAGCAUUUAUUAUCAUUUUGGAACGUGAUAAGUUGGAUCUAUUUUCUUAUCCAACACAUUUGUGCUUAAAGUGUCUGUGUUCUCCCAUUCUUCAGUAAUGUGGAGACAGUGCGAGGUAGAGAGACAAACACGCUGGUUGAUUGCAACGAAUAAUCUGUCUUUGUAGACCUUUAAUAGUUAACUGUUCAUCACCCAGGCUGGCCAGGCCAAAACGCUAUUUUUU